UACAGAGGGUGCAAGCGUUAAUCGGAAUUACUGGGCGUAAAGGGUGCGUAGGUGGUUUGAUAAGUUAGGUGUGAAAGCCCCGGGCUCAACCUGGGAACGGCAUUGGAAACUGGCUUGCUGGAGUGUGGCAGAGGGGGGUGGAAUUCCGCGUGUAGCAGUGAAAUGCGUAGAUAUUCGGAAGAACACCAGUGGCGAAGGCGGCUCACUGGUCCGGUACUGACGCUGAUGUGCGAAAGCGUGGGGAGCAAACAGG
rnacentral:rRNA from 1 species